GCGUUUGUGGUUUAGUGGUAAAAUCGAUCCUUGCCAUCUAGUGUAACCCACUUCGCAACAUGGAUUGGCCCCGGGUUCGAUUCCCGGCGAACGCA